CGAACGGAAAUUAACUUCGGUUAAUUUUAGUGGCGGACGGGUGAGUAACACGUGAGAAUUCGCCUUUAGGAGGGGGAUAACGGAUGGAAACAUUCGCUAAAACCCCAUAUGCCCCUGGGUGAAACAGAGGAGAUAAGUAAUACUGACUCUUACCUCUGCCUGAAGAGAAGCUCGCGGCUGAUUAGCUAGUUGGUAGGGUAAAGGCCUACCAAGGCGACGAUCAGUAGCUGGUCUGAGAGGACGAUCAGCCACACUGGAACUGAGACACGGUCCAGACUCCUACGGGAGGCAGCAGUGAGGAAUUUUCUGCAAUGGGCGAAAGCCUGACAGAGCAAUACCGCGUGAGGGAUGAAGACUUACUGAGUUGUAAACCUCGGUACCUUAAGGAAGAAGAUCUGACGGUACUUAAGGUGGAAAGCAUCGGCUAACUCCGUGCCAGCAGCCGCGGUAAGACGGGGGAUGCAAGUGUUAUCCGGAUUUACUGGGCGUAAAGCGUCUGCAGGUGGUUUUCUAAGUCUACUGUUAAAUCUUGAGGCUCAACCUCAAAUCUGCAGUAGAAACUAGAAGACUUGAGUAUAGUAGGGGUAGAGGGAAUUUCCAGUGGAGCGGUGAAAUGCGUAGAUAUUGGAAAGAACACCGAUGGCGAAGGCACUCUACUGGGCUAUUACUGACACUCAGAGACGAAAGCUAGGGGAGCAAAUGGGAUUAGAUACCCCAGUAGUCCUAGCCGUAAACGAUGGAUACUCGAUGUUGGACGUAUCAACCCGUUCAGUAUCUUAGCUAACGCGUUAAGUAUCCCGCCUGGGGAGUACGCUCGCA
rnacentral:rRNA from 1 species